UUAGCAGGCCGGAUGGUCGCCUCAUCCGCAAGGGUGGGGAGGAAAGUCCGAGCUCCAAAGAGCAGCGUAGCGGCUAAUGGCCGCCCGUCGUGAGACGAGGAUAUAGAGCCACAGAGACGAGACCUGAACCUUCGGGUUCAGGGGGUGAAACGAGGCAAUCUCUACGCGGAGCAAGAUCAAAUAGGUCCCGAUCUAAGGGUUGCUCGCCCUUACUGUACAUACGUCAGUAUCGGGACGGGUAAGGUCGCUCGAUCGCCGGAGCAAUCCGGCGGCUAGAUAGAUGACCAUCUCGUCACGCGUCGAAAGGUGCGUGGCAAGACAAAACUCGGCUUACAGGCCUGCUAAAAUA
rnacentral:RNase_P_RNA from 1 species